rnacentral:tRNA from 1 species
GGGGAGUUAGCUUAUUGGAUAGAGCGAAGGGUGGCCACACAAAACAGUGCCUUAGACGUAGGUUCAAAUCCUACACUCUCCA